UACGUAGGGUGCGAGCGUUGUCCGGAAUUAUUGGGCGUAAAGAGCUCGUAGGCGGUGUGUUACGUCGGUCGUGAAAACCUGCAGCUUAACUGUGGGCGUGCGGUCGAUACGGGCAUCACUGGAGUUCGGCAGGGGAGACUGGAAUUCCUGGUGUAGCGGUGAAAUGCGCAGAUAUCAGGAGGAACACCGGUGGCGAAGGCGGGUCUCUGGGCCGAUACUGACGCUGAGGAGCGAAAGCGUGGGGAGCAAACAGG
rnacentral:rRNA from 1 species